UGGGGAAUAUUGCACAAUGGAGGGAACUCUGAUGCAGCGACGCCGCGCGAACGAAGAAGGCUUUCGAGUCGUAAAGUUCUUUUAUAUGUGAAGAUAAUGACGGUACCAUAAGAAAAAGCUCCGGCUAACUACGUGCCAGCAGCCGCGGUAAUACGUAGGGGGCUAGCGUUGUCCGGAAUCACUGGGCGUAAAGGGUUCGCAGGCGGAAAUGCAAGUCAGGUGUAAAAGGCAGUAGCUUAACUACUGUAAGCAUUUGAAACUGCAUAUCUUGGGAAGAGUAGAGGUAAGUGGAAUUUUUAGUGUAGCGGUGAAAUGCGUAGAUAUUAAAAAGAAUACCGGUGGCGAAGGCGACUUACUAGACUUAAACUGACGCUCAGGCACGAAAGCGUGGGGAGCAGACAGG
rnacentral:rRNA from 1 species